AUUGAACGCUGGCGGCAUGCCUUACACAUGCAAGUCGAACGGCAGCACGGGGCAACCUGGUGGCGAGUGGCGAACGGGUGAGUAAUGCAUCGGAACGUACCUUUCAGUGGGGGAUAACGUAGCGAAAGUUACGCUAAUGCUGCAUCUUCUGUGAGCAGGACAGCAGGGGAUCGCAAGACCUUGCGCUGAUUGAGCGGCCGAUGUCAGAUUAGCUAGUUGGUGAGGUAAAGGCUCACCAAGGCGCCGAUCUGUAGCGGGUCUGAGAGGAUGAUCCGCCACACUGGAACUGAGACACGGUCCAGACUCCUACGGGAGACAGCAGAGGGGAAUUUUGGACAAUGGGGGCAACCCUGAUCCAGCCAUGCCGCGUGAGUGAAGAAGGCCUUCGGGUUGUAAAGCUCUUUCGGCCGGGAAGAAAUCGCACGGGCUAAUACCCUGUGUGGAUGACGGUACCGGAAUAAGAAGCACCGGCUAACUACGUGCCAGCCGCCGCUGUAAUAC
rnacentral:rRNA from 1 species